AACGGCUGAGGCCAUGUGAAAGGAAUAAGGCAGUGUGGCUACUGGGAGCCUGCUAGACCAGUGUUUCCAGCACCCUGAGAAGGACACCUACAGCUGUCUCGUGUGGGGAUGAGAGACUGGAACCCUGACUCAAAGGGCAAACCAAGGAAACAGAGCUACCUUUACCAUCUCAGAGGGAGGCCUGGGCCCCCGUGAGGCAGUGCUACCAGAAGACACUUUAACUUCCUCCCCUGGAGCCUGAUUGGAGACACCGCCAUUGCCAAGAGAGGUCAUGGAGAGACACUCUGACCUCAGAGGGCAGCAGCUGGGACAGAGGCCAGUGAGGCCAUGGGAGAGCAGUCAGUGACAGGGCCGGAGAACUGUGAGACCCCAGGACAGACUACAGGACAGCAGGAAGCCUGGUUUAUUUAGUUUUUAAAUUGUGGUAAAAUACACAAGAAAUAAAACUAAACAUUUUAAGGGCACAGAAUCCUGGCACAAGUCACACCAACACUAUUAUCCAACCAUCUCCUCCAUGAGUCUCCUCAAGACCUUUCCCAGCAGAACUGAAACCCGUGUUCACUGAACACCCGCCCCGACUCCCCUCUUCCGGGCAGUAAGAAACAAAACGGCGAUUCCUUCUCACUUCUACUUCCGCUCACCUGCACCCUGGGACUGGGACCUUUAGCAGGCUUUCUAGAGUAGCCUGGGUGUUCGGGCUCAGCAGUGAUGAAAGGCAGCUGCUAACGGGGAGACCUAGACCUCUAGCGUCCCAGCUUAUCAGCAAGGCCACUGACUGCUGCAAGCAGGAACGAGGCUCUCUGGCGUCCUGCAGGUUGCCUUCUGGUCUCCAGGCUCACAGAAAGGCUCCGAACCUGGGCUGACAUACUACACAGUGACCAGCAGAGGGCGCCAACAGUCUCUUCCCCAAAUUGUACCUGAGCAGCAUAGAAGAGUGGUCAGUUUAUGCUGUAGAAGCCAUGGUUUCAACUUGAGGUCCUCUUGCCUCUUAUGAGUUGUCUCUUCUCCACCACGGCCAACUGCACACCUGAACUGUG
rnacentral:lncRNA from 1 species